GCGUGAGUGAAGAAGGCCUUAGGGUUGUAAAGCUCUUUCAGCGGGGACGAUAAUGACGGUACCCGCAGAAGAAGCCCCGGCUAACUUCGUGCCAGCAGCCGCGGUAAUACGAAGGGGGCUAGCGUUGUUCGGAAUUACUGGGCGUAAAGCGCGCGUAGGCGGACAUCUAAGUCAGGGGUGAAAUGCCAAGGCUCAACCUUGGAACUGCCUUUGAUACUGGAUGUCUGGAGUUCGGGAGAGGUGAGUGGAAUUCCGAGUGUAGAGGUGAAAUUCGU
rnacentral:rRNA from 1 species